GCCGCUUUCGUCUAGCCCGGUUAGGACACAGCGUUCUCAGCGCUGGAACAUCGGUUCAAAUCCGAUAAGCGGCA
rnacentral:tRNA from 1 species